AGCGAACGCUGGCGGCAGGCCUAACACAUGCAAGUCGAACGAGCUCUUCGGAGCUAGUGGCAGACGGGUGAGUAACGCGUGGGAACGUGCCCUUUGGUUCGGAACAACUCAGGGAAACUUGAGCUAAUACCGGAUGUGCCCCUUCGGGGGAAAGAUUUAUCGCCAUUGGAGCGGCCCGCGUUGGAUUAGGUAGUUGGUGAGGUAAAGGCUCACCAAGCCUACGAUCCAUAGCUGGCUGAGAGGAUGAUCAGCCACACUGGGACUGAGACACGGCCCAGACUCCUACGGGAGGCAGCAGUGGGGAAUCUUGCGCAAUGGGCGAAAGCCUGACGCAGCCAUGCCGCGUGAAUGAUGAAGGUCUUAGGAUUGUAAAAUUCUUUCAGCAGGGACGAUAAUGACGGUACCUGCAGAAGAAG
rnacentral:rRNA from 1 species